CGACAUGCAGACAUCAGAUGAAUGUUUAUUUGUGGACUGGAAUAGGCUUGAAGCACAGGACAGAGGGUUGGGGAGUGCCUGCCUUCACAGUUUGGCUCAAGGCAUGAUCUCGACUUUGGAUAUUAGUAGAUCUGCUCCACUGAGCAGCUGAGCUCGACUCUGCUGAAGCCACAGAAGCUGUGAACACACAGAGAAACAUAGUUUGUGCUCUGCAGGGGCUGCAGCUAAGGGAAGCAGAAGGUGGGCAAAAGCGUAUGCCUGAGACUGAGUAGGGAGUGAAGAAAGGCUUCCUGGAAGAGCUGCCUCUGCACAAAUGGAUAGCGAGGUCAAGGGCCAGAGGCAACAGCAAAAGGAAGAGAUCUGGCACCGUGUGACUCCUGGCUCUUCCGCCAAGUCAAGAUGACUGCAAAAGGGAAACAUUUUGAAUCCAGUCUGGACCUUGAGGCAACCGGGACACCGCAGCUAAAGGCCCUCAGGAAAGAGGACUCCAGAGAGAGCAGUGGGAACGAGCAGGUGGAUCCUUUGAUUCCUCGAAUGUGGCAUCUUCUCAGAUGUAUCCUCAUUCUCCAAAGCCAGGUGGAUUCCCCUGCAUGCAAGAGCUGAUAAAAUAUACAGUGAGUGUUUAAGUUAAAAAAAAAAAAACAGUUAUUACAGUAGAAGACACAUUUCCAUGAAUCCCCUCACAAUGCUUCCCUCACGACGAACACAUUUUUCCCCUCGUCCUUGCCACCGCCUGCAGCAGCUCUGGAGUCCUCUUUCCUGGGGGUCUUUAUCUGUGCUGUACUGGCUGCUUCCAUGUCCUGAAUGGA